rnacentral:rRNA from 1 species
AUACGUAGGGAGCGAGCGUUGUCCGGAAUUACUGGGCGUAAAGGGCGCGUAGGCGGCGCUUCAAGUCGUCUGUCAAAUGGGAGGGCUUAACCCUUUUUCGCAGACGAAACUGGAGAGCUUGAGAAGCAGAGAGGCAAACAGAAUUCCUGGUGUAGCGGGGAGAUGCGUAGAUAUCAGGAAGAAUCACAGUGGCGAAAGCGGUUUGCUGGCUGAAUAGUGACGCUGAAGCGAGAAAGCCAGGGGAGCAAACGGGAUUAGAUACCCCGGUAGUCCUGGCAGUAAACGAUGUAUGCUGGGUGUGAGACUAGCGAUAGUUUCGUGCCGAAGUUAACGCGAUAAGCAUACCGCCUGGGGAGUACGGUCGCAAGAUUGAAACUCAAAGGAAUUGACGGGG